rnacentral:rRNA from 1 species
UACGUAGGGUGCGAGCGUUGUCCGGAAUUAUUGGGCGUAAAGAGCUCGUAGGCGGUUUGUCGCGUCGGCCGUGAAAACUUGGGGCUUAACCCCGAGCCUGCGGUCGAUACGGGCAGACUUGAGUUCGGCAGGGGAGACUGGAAUUCCUGGUGUAGCGGUGAAAUGCGCAGAUAUCAGGAGGAACACCGGUGGCGAAGGCGGGUCUCUGGGACGGUAUUGACGCUGAGACGCGAAAGCGUGGGGAGCGAACAGG